rnacentral:rRNA from 1 species
UCACAUCCGAGGCCUUGUAAUUGGAAUGAGUACACUUUAAAUCCUUUAACAAGGAUCAAUUGGAGGGCAAGUCUGGUGCCAGCAGCCGCGGUAAUUCCAGCUCCAAUAGCGUAUAUUAAAGUUGUUGCGGUUAAAACGUUCGUAGUUGAACUUGUGUUUCGCACGGGCAGUACCUAGGACUAGGUAACUAGGACGGUACCUUGUCUUACUUUCCUUAUCUGUGGUUUGGAAAAAGUGCGUGAACGUAUUAUCGGCGUGUUCGUUCUUGAACGUUCACAUAAGCCCAUCUCAGUGCUCUUAAUCGAGUGUUGUUGUGGGCCGAUACAAAUUACUUUGAACAAAUUAGAGUGCUUAAAGCAGGCUUGUAAUGCCUGAAUAUUUUGUGCAUGGAAUAAUGAAAUAGGACAUCUGUUCUACUUUCAUUGGUUUUUUAGACCAAGAUGUAAUGAUUAAUGGAAGCAGUUGGGGGCAUUAGUAUUACAACGCGAGAGGUGAAAUUCUUAGACCGUUGUAAGACUGACUAAAGCGAAAGCAUUUGCCAAAGAUGUUUUCAUUUAAUCAAGAACGAAAGUUAGAGGUUCGAAGGCGAUCAGAUACCGCCCUAGUUCUAACCAUAAACGAUGCCAGCUAGCAAUUGAGUGUAGCUACUACUAUGGCUCUUUCAGUCGCUUCUCGGGAAACCAAAGCUUUUGGGCUCCGGGGGAAGUAUGGUUGCAAAGCUGAAACUUAAAGGAAUUGACGGAAGGGCACCACCAGGAGUGGAGCCUGCGGCUUAAUUUGACUCAACACGGGAAAACUUACCAGGUCCGAACAUAAAUGAGUAAGACAGAUUG